GUCAUGGAUGGAAUGUGCCACUGCAGCAAAACGUCAAACCAUUCCACAAAAUUCUAUCGAUGUGCGUCGAUCGAGUAAACAAAGCAGAAGCUGGUUCCUGAAAUCGAGUAAACAUUUGAGUGGAAAAUUGACCAUUAGGUAAAUAAAUUGUUGCUGAAAGCAAUCUGAUAACAAUGUCCCGCUUGGAAACUGCUAGUUCACGUUACGAUGGCAACGGGUCCAACUGAUGUCAACUCCCCAGUCACACCAAUUCCAUUCGACAGUUCGCGCAAAAGUGAGGCUGGCACAGUUUGACGCCAUCAAAGUAGCUCCUUUCCUGGAUGGUCCGGUUGAAGGGAAGUCCUUCCACGUACCCCAGUAAUUUCCCUGCGCCACGAGGAUGGCGUUGCACAAAGUAGAAAAUCCGGAGCGAAGGCAGCAAGGUAAACAAAUCUAAUGCUUAUGUGUGCGACGGUACCGCUGAAGCUAGAAAAAGGACGAUGGAAAACAGCAGAAAGAGAAGGGAUCAUUCUGGCGUGCCCUUCCACCAUACCCCGUCUGUUGGUAAGGCAGGACACACGACACUGAUCUGCACAUAAUCCGCGGACCUGCUGGGACCUUGUCGGAGCGAAUUGCGGAACAACAGAAAGGAGCUCUCUGGCCAGUUUCGGAUCAUUUCAUGAAGACACGCGCGCGCUGCACAUAAGCGAUUAUUUAUUUUCCAAAUCUGAUUUACAAUUCUACGGGAGGACAAGGUGUUUGGAGUGGAGGAAAUGGAGUCGUUUGUAAUGGUUGUCAUUUAUGUGAACAUGGAGCUCUUCCUAUGUACUUCCUAUGAAAUAUAAUGUGUUGCCGAACUCCUA